rnacentral:lncRNA from 10 species
GGAUUGGAGGCCUUUGUUUGCCGCUCAACUCCAGGAAACCACCCGCGCUCGGCGGCCGCCAGCAUUUGGGCUGGAGGCGUGGCCCGGGUUGCUGUGGUUACUGGGGAGGUGAGGCUUUCUGUCUGGGAUUUGUGUGAGAUUCGUUCACCCAGCAACAAUCCGCGCAGCCUGGCGGCCCUCGGAGCCGCGCGCGCUUCCCGGACGCCUAAGAGAGAAGCUGAGACAGGCUGCAGUGAAAAGAGACAUUGUUCCUGUCCUCUAGAACAGAAGGAGAAGAAAUGGGCUGGAACUGAAGCAUGAAAGACUAAAGUUAGAUACAUACAGGGACUUCCCAAACGACUUUUCCAGGCGCCUUCUCGUCCUGGAAGGUGGGAAUGAUCUGGAGACCAGGAGUAAGAAGACCUGAGUUUAGAUCCCCAGCCUGGAUUCAGUUCUGAGUGCCUCAGUUUUCCCUUCCACAAAAUGAG